GGAGACCCAGUGGCCAGAAGGCACCUGCAGCCAGGCCACACCGCCCCCUUAGGAGCGAUGGGGGACAGCAAGAACUGACAAGCCCUGAUGGCAUACAAAGCCUCCAGGUGACCAGCAGUGACAGACGCCAGCCAGGACAUCCUUUCCAGAACCUUCUCUAGCUCUGCUGGCAUAAGCAGCACCUGGUUUUCAAAGGCUUUCUUUGGCUCUGGUGAACCCAACGGAAAGCCCUACGAGCCUGGCUGGUGGCUGAGCUGCCUUCUCCAUAGGCUGUUCACCAAUCUCGAGAGUCACCUGCCAUGAAGUCCCAGGAGUUCUGACAUCCAGUGUUCAUGCCCAUGGAGCAACCAACAAGAAUGUUCUGUUCACUGCCGCAUCCUUAGAUCUAACACAGCACCUGGCAUAUGGUAGAUGUUGAGUACAUUGUCAAACAAACAUGCUUGCUUUGAUGAAGAAAGCUGCUAUAUUGGAGAGGCCCAUGUGGCAAGAACUUGAGUGUAGCCUGUAGCCAGUAUCCAGUGGGCAAAUGAGGCUCUCAAUCCAACAGCCUACAAGGAAUUGAAUCCAACUGACAAGCAUGUGAGUGAGCUUGGAAGCCAACCCUGCCCCAGGUGCCAGGACUACAGACAGGGCAACGGAGAGCAGGGGCUUGCUGGAGAAAUCCAUCCUUCCCUGGGAUCUCUUGGAGGGCUCUCCAUCUCUCUUAGAGCAGUUUCUUUCUUAGACAGUUGAAGCUGCCUCAGUGGUCUCCCCAGAUCAUGCAGGUCGGGGCAGAAGCUUCUCACUCAGAGAACUGAGAAUAUCAUUUUUCACAGAAGUCUAAGGUGGAAUUUAGACCAAGAUAUUCUUGGCCUUAGCAGUUUGACUCGGGCGGGGGUUUGAAGCUGGAACUUUUCAACAUACAUCUCCAAGCUUCAGGAGGAAGCUAGACACAUCUGAAAGCCUCUGAACAACCUGCGAUGAAGAUUCUUGAAAAAAGAGACCAUUUGCCUUAGGGGCUAAGAGUACAGGUGCAAGAGACAGACCGCCCACAUUAAAAUCUGACUCCACUCCUGAGCUGUGUGACUUUGGGGAAGUUCCUCAACUGAAGUCACAAAGACCUAAUCUGGGAGGUGGGAAUAGUCAUAGAAAAAGGAUCGUGGGGAAAUGAAACGAGAGAAUACAUGUAACGUUCUUGGCUCACAGCGCCCGGUGAAUGUUAGCUGCUAUUACUGUUGUUCCUACCACCGCACCCUCUCCCAUUCCUUUCCUUCUCAAUUCUAUUGACAUUUUUGGUGUCUAACUCCUUUUGAGAGAUCAUGACUUUUGUAGAACUAGGCUGCUUUCACUCUUUGAGGGUGGUCUUUCUGAUUGAUCCAUCAGUCUGCAUUCUCCUUGCCGUCCUUGGUAUGCACACACAUGCAUGGAAGCUAUAUUCCUCCUUCAUACUGGACUUUGAGGACAACGUUUUCAUGUUUCACAUUUCCCACUUCAUCUCCUUUGUUUUCCACUUGCUUAGUUUCCUACUCUUCCCUUUAUCCUGAGGUGUCGUGAGGGCAAUGGCCUGCAGAGUCCAAAGGUGGCUGUCAUGUCAUUUGUCCACGUUUGCAUUCCCGUGCCCUCCCCACAGAUGGCUGCUCUCUGGGCUGCACGCACGUUGGGUUCACUGAUCGCAGAGUCUUUUUCUGGCUGCCAAGAACAUGGUAGCCUCCCAGAGGCUGUUGGCAUGUGGAUGCUGCCUCUGUGAUCCACAGCCCCGCCAGGCUGAUGCUUCAGGAAUGGAUCACACCUUGGCUGGACCCAUCAGGCUGGAACACCAGAUUCUUAAUCAACUGUAGGUGCUACUGUCGCUCUAGGACCUGCCGAUGCCCUCUGUCCUUCUCUGGUGACUUUGUCCACGUGGAUCUUCAGUUCCUUCAACAUGUGUGCUUGUUGCCCCUUGGAGCCCACCUCCUCAAGCAAGCCUCCCAGCCCAGUCAGCCCCUGUGCACUCUCAUGUUACCUGUGCAUCUCCUUCACAACUCACGUCACUGAUGGACUUACGCAGUUGGGUGUGUAUUUGGUAACCUGUCUUCCUCCUGCUGAAAUAUCAACUCCAAGAGGGCAAGGAGUGUGUCUAUUUGUUCACUACAGUAUUAUAUGAACACCCCUGGCAUAUAAUAAGUGCUCCCUCAGAAUUUGAGUAUUAUAUGGACACCCUUGGCAUAUAAUAAAUGCUCCCUCAGAAUUUGAGUAUUAUAUGGACACCCUUGGCAUAUAAUAAAUGCUCCCUCAGAAUUUGAGUAUUAUAUGGACACCCCUGGCAUAGAAUAAAUGCUCCCUCAGUAUUUGAAUAAAUAAAUGUGGUGUCAAUUUGGAUUAAUU
rnacentral:lncRNA from 1 species